rnacentral:rRNA from 1 species
AGAGUUUGAUCCUGGCUCAGAAUGAACGCUGGCGGCGUGCUUAACACAUGCAAGUCGAACGAUGAAGCCUAGCUUGCUAGGUGGAUUAGUGGCGCACGGGUGAGUAAUAUAUAGGUAACGUGCCUCUUAGUCUGGGAUAGCCAUUGGAAACGAUGAUUAAUACUGGAUACUCCUUCUAACUCUAAUGUUAGUCGGGAAAGUUUUUCGCUAAGAGAUCGGCCUAUUUCCCAUCAGCUUGUUGGUAGUGUAAGAGACUACCAAGGCUAUGACGGGUAGCGGGUUUGAGAGGAUGAUCCGCCACACUGGUACUGAGACACGGACCAGACUCCUACGGGAGGCAGCAGUGAGGAAUAUUGCACAAUGGGCGCAAGCCUGAUCCAGCAAUACCGCGUGUGUGAAGAAGGCCUGAGGGUUGUAAAGCACUUUCAAUUGUGAAGAAAAGCUAAAGAUUAAUACUCUUUAGCCUUGACGUUAACUUUAGAAGAAGCACCGGCUAACUCCGUGCCAGCAGCCGCGGUAAUACGGAGGGUGCAAGCGUUAAUCGGAAUUACUGGGCGUAAAGGACGCGUAGGCGGGAUGCCAAGUCUGAUGUGAAAUCCUAUGGCUUAACCAUAGAACUGCAUUGGAAACUGGUAACCUAGAGUAUGGGAGGGGGAGAUGGAAUUAGUGGUGUAGGGGUAAAAUCCGUAGAUAUCACUAGGAAUACCGAAAGCGAAGGCGAUCUCCUGGAACAAUACUGACGCUAAGGCGUGAAAGCGUGGGGAGCAAACGGGAUUAGAUACCCCGGUAGUCCACGCCCUAAACGAUGUUCACUAGUCGUCGGGAUGCUAGUCAUCUCGGUGAUGCACUUAACAGAUUAAGUGAACCGCCUGGGGAGUACGGUCGCAAGAUUAAAACUCAAAGGAAUAGACGGGGACCCGCACAAGCGGUGGAGCAUGUGGUUUAAUUCGACGAUACGCGAAGAACCUUACCUGGCCUUGACAUAGAAAGAAUUUAGCAGAGAUGUAAAAGUGCUAGUUUACUAGAGCUUUCAUACAGGUGCUGCACGGCUGUCGUCAGCUCGUGUCGUGAGAUGUUAGGUUAAGUCCUGCAACGAGCGCAACCCUCGUGUUUAGUUACUAACAGUUCGGCUGAGGACUCUAGACAUACUGCCUGGGCAACCAGGAGGAAGGUGAGGACGACGUCAAGUCAUCAUGGCCCUUACGGCCAGGGCUACACACGUGCUACAAUGGGGUAUACAAAGAGCCGCAAUACCGCGAGGUGGAGCAAAUCUAUAAACCCAAUCUCAGUUCGGAUUGUUCUCUGCAACUCGAGAACAUGAAGCUGGAAUCACUAGUAAUCGUAGAUCAGCUAUGCUACGGUGAAUACGUUCCCGGGUCUUGUACUCACCGCCCGUCACACCAUGGGAGUUGAUUUCACCCGAAGCGGGGAAGCUAAACUGGCUACCCUCCACGGUGGAAUUAGCGACUGGGGUGAAGUCGUAACAAGGUAACC